rnacentral:rRNA from 1 species
UGGGGAAUAUUGCACAAUGGGCGAAAGCCUGAUGCAGCGACGCCGCGUGCGGGAUGAAGGCCUUCGGGUUGUAAACCGCUUUUAAUUGGGAGCAAGCGAGAGUGAGUGUACCUUUUGAAUAAGCACCGGCUAACUACGUGCCAGCAGCCGCGGUAAUACGUAGGGUGCAAGCGUUAUCCGGAAUUAUUGGGCGUAAAGAGCUCGUAGGCGGUUUGUCACGCCUGGUGUGAAAGUCCAUCGCUUAACGGUGGAUCUGCGCCGGGUACGGGCAGGCUAGAGUGCAGUAGGGGAGAUUGGAAUUCCCGGUGUAACGGUGGAAUGUGUAGAUAUCGGGAAGAACACCAAUGGCGAAGGCAGAUCUCUGGGCUGUUACUGACACUGAGGAGCGAAAGCAUGGGGAGCGAACAGGAUUAGAUACCCUGGUAGUCCAUGCCGUAAACGGUGGAUGCUGGAUGUGGGACCCUUCCACGGGUUCCGUGUCGGAGCUAACGCGUUAAGCAUCCCGCCUGGGGAGUACGGCCGCAAGGCU